rnacentral:misc_RNA from 1 species
GAUGAAGAACUUAGCGAAAUGCGAUAAGUAAUGUGAAUUGCAGAAUUCAGUGAAUCAUCGAAUCUUUGAACGCACCUUGCGCUCCUUGGUAUUCCAAAGAGCAUGCCUGUUUGAGUAUCAUUAAAUUAUCAACUGUACCAAUUUGGUUGCAGAUUGGAUGUGGGAGAUUUUGCAGGCUUUUGAUUUCUCUUUGAGAAAACGGUCAGCUCUCCUGAAAUAUAUUAGCAGUGCCUUUGUUGGUUCAUUAGGUGUGAUAAUUUAUCUACAUCUUCACAUGGUACCUUCAUUUGUGUAAAGGUCAUAUUGCUUCUAAUUGUCUUUGGACAUAAAAAAAAAAAAACAUAUAAUUGUAUGGAAAACUUGAUCUCAAAUCAGGCAGGACUACCCGCUGAACUUAAGCAUAUCAAUAAGCGGAGGA